UGCGUAGGGUGCAGGCGUUAAUCGGAAUUACUGGGCGUAAAGCGUGCGCAGGCGGUUCUAUAAGACAGAUGUGAAAUCCCCGGGCUCAACCUGGGAACUGCAUUUGUGACUGCAUCGCUGGAGUACGGCAGAGGGGGAUGGAAUUCCGCGUGUAGCAGUGAAAUGCGUAGAUAUGCGGAGGAACACCGAUGGCGAAGGCAAUCCCCUGGGCCUGUACUGACGCUCAUGCACGAAAGCGUGGGGAGCAAACAGG
rnacentral:rRNA from 1 species